UCCCCUGUGCUCAGACACCAGGCUGGGAGGCAGAAGGCCACGUUGCUGUGGGACACACUCCAUCAUCCUCAGCACCACUGGCAGCCUGAGCCUUGCUCAGGGCAGCUGUGAGGCCAGGGACACACUCACCCUGUCUGUGCCAGCACACAGGCUCUGCCUCACCAGCCAGGAGAGCUGAGCCACAGCACUGCUGCAUGCAGCAAAGGGCUCACUGCAGCACAGACACAGCACGGGCAGGGACAGCACAGAGAAAACAGAGCUGUGGCUGCAUGGGACACAGCAGCCACAGGUGGCAGAAAUACCUGCUCUCAUCAGCUCCCAGCAGCAGAAUCAAAUGUCUCUGAGGAGCCCCAAACAAGGCAAAGCAGCACUGACUUCCUAGUCAGUCAGGUCUCAAGGAUUACCUGAGGUUAGGCUUGGAAGAAAAAUUCCCUUUUGGGUUUGGCCUGGAACAUGGUGGCCAUUUCACUUGGAGCACAGAGCAGCAGCUCUGCUGUCCUGGGUCAGGUCUGGAGCACACACAACAGCUCUGCUGUCCUGGGUCAGGUCUGGAGCACAGAGCAGCAGCUCUGCUGUCCUGGGUCAGGUCUGGAGCACAGCCAGGACAUACCUGCUGCCUCCCAGGAAUGGGACAAGUGUUCUCCUGGCACACACACACCAGCACAGCCAAGGUGAGGCUGCAGCAGAACCUCCCUGGCUCCAGAACAAAGCUCAUGUGGAUCUUUCCUUUGAGAAGCACAAAGAGAUUGUUCAGGUUUGACUUUGCCCCUUGGGUUUGCAUCUGCAGCUCCUCAAAGCCACGGCACAGGCUGCAAUUACAGAAGGGCCCUUUCCAAGCAGCACAGCAGUAGUUUAGGAAAACUCCACAGGCCUUCCUGCCCCACAAAUCACAACUCAACCCUGCAGCUGGGCUGAGAGAGAUCCAGAAAUAGACUGUGGGAACACUCCUGGUUCUCUGCACGUUGGGGGCUUGGAAAGAAAGAGAAACCCUAAUCUGUACUGACAUCCCCAUGACAAACCAACCACAGCACACACCCCAGGGCUGCUGGACAAGGAUGGCAGCUUUCUGCCCCACUGCAGAGCCUGUGCCAUGGAGGCCUUGUCUGAUAACAGGUUUUUUAGUUCUGUCUGUUUCUGCUGGACAUUUCCAGCUCUGGUUUAAAGCUGUUUCAGAAUAAACACAACAGCCCUAAAUCCACCUUCAUCUUGCAGUAGGAAUUUGAGGAAGCAGAGUAAUUAACUAAGUCUGCAGAGCCAGAACCUGUGUCAAUAGCUGCCUGAUGGAAAGCAAUGAGGGAUCUUUGGGGGCCACACACACCAUGGAAUUGCUCAUGUGCCCUCUCCAAAAGGAGCCUGCAGCAGCUUAAAGCUAACCUAGAAUUAAAGAAAUUGCACGUCUCUGUAAUAACAGCAGCAACUUAUAACUUGUAACUUCUCCCUAACUUGUUUAUGACCUGCUCAGUGCACGUACUGCUUCCCACAUGCCAGUCCCCAGUGUGAUCAGCCCAUCACUGACCCACACCCCAUGGAGAAUUCACAUCCUACCCACGUUUUAUUUUGGCUGCGUGGUGGCUUUUAGGCACUGCCCAUCUUGUAUUUGUUAAAUUGCCCACGUUCCCCAGACAGCAAGGGAGAUGGGAGUGCUGUUUUCCACACACACAGAAAGGUAGAGGUGGCAAAAAAUAGCAUCUGAAAUUUACUGAAACCCAAACCAGACAGGUUUUGGCUUGGGGAAACUCUGAGACAGUAACUGUGACAGCUGGGGAAAGGGGACAGGAGGAACACCCCUGCCAACACUCCCCACACCAGCAAGGCUUGAGCAAGCCCCAAACCAGAGCUCAGACUUCAGAAAGCUCUCAAUGCCUCACCUCAUGGGGUCAGCUUAUGCAAAGCACAACAGUGGGACCUGCCUGACCCUUGCUCCAUUCCAGCUGUGCUGCUGGCAGUGCCUGUGCCUGCACACAGCUGCUGAGCCAUUAUUCUCCUCCCCUGCACUUAAGCUGGGAUGUUUCAAGGACUGGUGAAGCAGAGCCCUGACUGCACACAGCAACUGCUCCUAGAAAACAAACCCUCCCCUGCUCCCCCAGAGAAACCCCACUCCCUGCCAGCACCUGCCAAGACAAUUGUCCUGGAUGCUCCAUCCUCCCGUGGGAUGCUGGCACUGGCUCCCUGGGAGUGCAGAUUUUUUCACUGGGGUGAGGAGGAGCCCCUCGUGCUGCACCACACCAAGUCCUGCCAGCAAGUCCUUCCUUUGGGCUCUGCUCCAGCUGCCUUGGCCCUGAGCUCUGUGUGCAGCUGGGUCAGGCACCUGCAGGGCUUUCCCACACUGCAGGAACUUCCCUGCACGAGUGGCUGCUCCCGUUCCUGGGCAGCCGGAGGUGCCACAGCCAGAGCUCCAGUCUGCAGCUGCUGCCAGGGCCAGUCAGACUCUGCUGGGCAGUACCAUGACCAGGACAGGCAAACCCCAAAGAGGCAUUGAGCCCUGGACCCUCUGCUGGCUCCGAGGGGGGCAGGACACUCAGGAGAGCCUGGAGUGCCCCUCGAGAGGCCUCUGUGCCCCAGCACGCAGGGAAGGAGGAACAGGAUGAUGCCAGAAGAGCAGAGGGCACUGUGGCUGGGGACUGCAGGGCAGCUGCCUCUCCUUGGGUACCACACACAGGGAGCAGCCAGGAGCAAGAGGUGUGUGCCCCACAGAGACACCUGCCUGGCAGAGAAACCCUGGAGCAACUGCAGGCUCAGAGAAACACCAUGUCUGCUUGAACUGGGACAGCCCAAGUCCCACACUGGGCUGAGAUGGGACAGAUUCCAUCAAUCCCAAGCCCAUGGGCAAAAUCAUGCCCAACGUGAGGCAUGCUGAUGGAACAGAAACAACCUACACAGCAGGUUAGUUUAUAACGAAGAGGGAUGAGGAGAAUGAAGGGAAGGAGGAACUGAGUGUGAGAAAGGCAGAACCAGAACUGGACACUAAAACUGCACGGCCUAAGAGCCCAGCAUCACACACAAGGGGCUGCCUUGAAAGAAUUCCAAGUACCUUAUUUUAAUUUCUUGACAUGGUAAAAGUUUACAUAGGUUCAUCUUGCAAAGAAAGCUGAACAAAUGAAAAGGAAUCAAUACAAAGAAACACAAGGGGAAGUGCUGCUCCCAGGCAGCAGCUCAACGCAGUUGGUUUGUUACUGAAUAUUUAUUAGAGGGAAGACUAAGAGUUGACUUACUACAAACAACAACAGAAGAGUCUAUAGCAGGGGCCAGCAGCCCGCCACACUCUGGGCAAAUCCCUGGGAAACCAGCAAGAGACAACAUGGCUCUUAGAUGUGGAAGCAGAGGGAAAAAAAAAACAAACCAACUAAAAACAAAGUAAAAAAAAAA